rnacentral:rRNA from 1 species
UUUCGAAUCAUUCACAAUGGGCGCAAGCCUGAUGGUGCGACGCCGCGUGGGGGACGAAGGUCUUCGGACUGUAAACCCCUGUCACCGGGGAAGAAACGCUUUGAGCUAACAGUUCAAAGCCUGACUUAACCCGGAGAGGAAGCAGUGGCUAACUCUGUGCCAGCAGCCGCGGUAAUACAGAGACUGCAAGCGUUAUUCGGAUUCACUGGGCGUAAAGGGUGCGCAGGCGGCUGAGUGUGUCAGGUGUGAAAGCCCGAGGCUUAACCUCGGAAUUGCGCCUGAAACUGCUCGGCUAGAGGACUGGAGAGGGUAGCGGAAUUCACGGUGUAGCAGUGAAAUGCGUAGAUAUCGUGAGGAACACCAGAGGCGAAGGCGGCUACCUGGACAGUACCUGACGCUCAGGCACGAAAGCGUGGGGAGCAAAAGGG